GAUGAACGCUGGCGGCGUGCCUAAUACAUGCAAGUCGAGCGAACAGACGAGGAGCUUGCUCCUCUGACGUUAGCGGCGGACGGGUGAGUAACACGUGUAUAACCUACCUAUAAGACUGGGAUAACUUCGGGAAACCGGAGCUAAUACCGGAUAAUAUAUUGAACCGCAUGGUUCAAUAGUGAAAGCCGGUUUUGCUGUCACUUAUAGAUGGAUCCGCGCCGCAUUAGCUAGUUGGUAAGGUAACGGCUUACCAAGGCAACGAUGCGUAGCCGACCUGAGAGGGUGAACGGCCACACUGGAACUGAGGAACGGUCCAGACUCCUACGGGAAGCAGCAGUAGGGAAUCUUCCGCAAUGGGCGAAAGCUUGACGGAGCAACGCCGCGUGAGGGAUGAAGGUCUUCGGAUCGUAAAACUCUGUUAUUAGGGAAGAACAAAUGUGUAAGUAACUAUGCACGUCUUGACGGUACCUAAUCAGAAAGCCACGGCUAACUACGUG
rnacentral:rRNA from 1 species